UGAGCAAUCUGCCCUUCUCUUUGGAAUAAGCGUUGGAAACGACGUCUAAUGCCGAAUACGACCUCCUUUCGCAUGAUCGGAGGUGGAAAGCUCCGGCGGAGAAGGAUGAGCUCGCGGCCUAUCAGCUAGUUGGUGUGGGUAAUGGCCCACCAAGGCGACGACGGGUAGCCGGCCUGAGAGGGUGACCGGCCACACUGGGACUGAGACACGGCCCAGACUCCGUACGGGGAGGNAGCG
rnacentral:rRNA from 1 species